UAAUCUGUUUGAGACAGAUCUUUGUAUAAUUAUAGCAAACUCACAUCUAAUGGCUCAAAAUCACCUAUUAUCUUAGGCCGACUGCAUCAAUUUCCCCACUCCUAUUCUUGUUUUAAAGACAUCAUGGCACCAUCCCUGAAAGCAAGAAA
rfam:Populus trichocarpa scaffold_3_contig_246, whole genome shotgun sequence.